rnacentral:rRNA from 1 species
GAUGAACGCUGGCGGCGUGCCUAAUACAUGCAAGUCGAGCGAACAGACGAGGAGCUUGCUCCUCUGACGUUAGCGGCGGACGGGUGAGUAACACGUGGAUAACCUACCUAUAAGACUGGGAUAACUUCGGGAAACCGGAGCUAAUACCGGAUAAUAUAUUGAACCGCAUGGUUCAAUAGUGAAAGACGGUUUUGCUGUCACUUAUAGAUGGAUCCGCGCCGCAUUAGCUAGUUGGUAAGGUAACGGCUUACCAAGGCAACGAUGCGUAGCCGACCUGAGAGGGGUAUCCGGCACACUGGAACUGAGACACGGUCCAGACUCCUACGGGAGGCAGCAGUAGGGAAUCUUCCGCAAUGGGCGAAAGCCUGACGGAGCAACGCCGCGUGAGUGAUGAAGGUCUUCGGAUCGUAAAACUCUGUUAUUAGGGAAGAACAAAUGUGUAAGUAACUAUGCACGUCUUGACGGUACCUAACCAGAAAGCCACGGCUAACUACGUG